ensembl:lncRNA
GUGGGAGGUAAGCGUGGGGUCGGCGCCGUAGAAAGCUGCGCGGCUUGGUUUAGCCGAGCUACCUGCUCAGUCAGGUGGGCGAGACGGUGAUCAUGUUCACUAAUCAUCCGGCCAUGUCCCUCGAUGGCUUGCGGCCAACGAUCUCCCGCUGCUUCCAUUGGAAGGCGAAGUAUUCUGUCACAAACCUCGAAACGGCACGGAAGCAGGAGCGGGCGGCGGGGGUAGAGCGUAGAAUCGGGAAGUUCAAGAAACGUAGUUGUAGGGUAAACAAGGGUCAAGCGAUCGGGCGAACAAUACAAACGGGGAUAGGCAGAAAGCGUAGUCGAGACAGAAAACAAGGGUCGAGGAUCACGAGAAACAAACAAACUAGAACGGCUUGGUAACGCAGAGAAACGAGCUACUGAGCGUAUACUUCGCGUAUAAACUGGGUGAAUGACUUCCCUAAAUACUAGCGGUGAGUGUGUGUGAUUGGUGCCAGGUGUGACUGAUCAGAACUCUGGGGAUGGUGAGCGCAUGCGUGCAUGAGAAGUGAGUGUUGCAUCUUGGGAAUUUGAGUUCUGAUUGGGCCGAGCUGUGACAGUCGGUGAAUAAGCGGUUGUAACUCUCCUUCAUAAGCCUAUGACUAACUGUCCCUGCAAAUGGAUCUC